rnacentral:tRNA from 2 species
GUGGGCGUAGCUCAGUUGGUAGAGCGUCAGAUUGUGGUUCUGAAUGUCGAGGGUUCGAUCCCCUUCGCUCACCCCA